rnacentral:misc_RNA from 1 species
GAUGAAGAACGCAGCGAAAUGCGAUACAUGGUGUGAAUUGCAGAAUCCCGUGAACCAUCGAGUCUUUGAACGCAAGUUGCGCCCGAAGCCAUUAGGCCGAGGGCACGCCUGCCUGGGCGUCACACGUCGUUGCCCCCCCAUCUACUCCUUCGGGAUUGCGGGGGGCGGAUGAUGGCCUCUCGUGCGCCUCGUCGCGCGGUUGGCCUAAAUGCCAAGUCCUCGGCGACGCACGCCACGACAAUCGGUGGUUGCGAAACCUCGGUUGCCUGUCGUGUGCGGUCGUCGCGCAUCGAGGGCUCGAAAAAAUUGCCGGGCUUCGGCUCGACUUUCAACGCGACCCCAGGUCAGGCGGGGUUACCCGCUGAAUUUAAGCAUAUCAAUAAGCGGAGGA